AGCGAACGCUGGCGGCAGGCCUAACACAUGCAAGUCGAGCGCCCCGCAAGGGGAGCGGCAGACGGGAGAGUAACACGUGGGAACGUACCCUUCGGUUCGGAACAACCCAGGGAAACUUGGGCUAAUACCGGAUACGUCCGAAAGGAGAAAGAUUUAUCGCCGAGGGAUCGGCCCGCGUCUGAUUAGCUAGUUGGUGGGGUAAUGGCCCACCAAGGCGACGAUCAGUAGCUAGUCUGAGAGGAUGAUCAGCCUCACUGGGACUGAGACACGGCCCAGACUCCUACGGGAGGCAGCAGUGGGGAAUAUUGGACAAUGGGCGCAAGCCUGAUCCAGCCAUGCCGCGUGGGUGAUGAAGGCCCUAGGGUUGUAAGGCCCUUUCGGCGGGGAAGAUAAUGACGGUACCCGCAGAAGAAGCCCCGGCUAACUUCGUGCCAGCAGCCGCGGUAACAC
rnacentral:rRNA from 1 species